GAUGAACGCUGGCGGCGUGCCUAAUACAUGCAAGUCGAGCGAACGGACGAGAAGCUUGCUCUUCUGAUGUUAGCGGCGGACGGGUGAGUAACACGUGGAUAACCUACCUAUAAGACUGGGAUAACUUCGGGAAACCGGAGCUAAUACCGGAUAAUAUUUUGAACCGCAUGGUUCAAUAGUGAAAGACGGUCUUGCUGUCACUUAUAGAUGGAUCCGCGCUGCAUUAGCUAGUUGGUAAGGUAACGGCUUACCAAGGCAACGAUGCGUAGCCGACCUGAGAGGGUGAUCGGCCACACUGGAACUGAGACACGGUCCAGACUCCUACGGGAGGCAGCAGUAGGGAAUCUUCCGCAAUGGGCGAAAGCCUGACGGAGCAACGCCGCGUGAGUGAUGAAGGUCUUCGGAUCGUAAAACUCUGUUAUUAGGGAAGAACAAAUGUGUAAGUAACUGUGCACAUCUUGACGGUACCUAAUCAGAAAGCCACGGCUAACUACGUG
rnacentral:rRNA from 1 species